UACGUAGGGGGCAAGCGUUGUCCGGAUUUAUUGGGCGUAAAGAGCGUGUAGGCGGCUUCACAGGUCCGCUGUGAAAACUCGAGGCUCAACCUCGAGCUGUCGGUGGAAACCGUGUGGCUAGAGUCCGGAAGAGGAGAGUGGAAUUCCCGGUGUAGCGGUGAAAUGCGCAGAUAUCGGGAAGAACACCCGUGGCGAAGGCGGUUCUCUGGGACGGUACUGACGCUGAGACGCGAAAGCGUGGGGAGCGAACAGGGAU
rnacentral:rRNA from 1 species